GUGCUCACUUUGGUAGCAGACAUACUAAAAUUGGAAUGAUACAGAGAUUAGCAUGGCCGUUGCGCAAGGAUGACAUGCAAAUUCGUGAAGCAUUCCAUAUUUUU
rnacentral:snRNA from 1 species